CUACGGGGGGCUGCAGCAGGGAAUAUUGCACAAUGGACGGAAGUCUGAUGCAGCGACGCCGCGUGGAUGAUGAAGGCCCUCGGGUUGUAAAAUCCUUUUCAGGGGGACGAGGAAGGACGGUACCCUUGGAAUAAGCGUCGGCUAACUACGUGCCAGCAGCCGCGGUAAGACGUAGGACGCAAGCGUUAUCCGGAUUUACUGGGCGUAAAGCGUCUGUAGGCGGAAUGGUAAGUUGGACGUGAAAGCUCCGGGCUCAACUCGGAGAGGUCGUUCAAUACUGCCAAACUAGAGGGCAUCAGAGGAGCGUGGAAUGUCCGGUGUAGCGGUAAAAUGCGCAGAUAUCGGAAGGAACACCAAUGGCGAAGGCAGCGCUCUGGGAUGAACCUGACGCUAAGAGACGAAAGCUAGGGGAGCGAACAGGAUUAGAUACCCCGGUAGUC
rnacentral:rRNA from 1 species